UUUCCGUAGGUGAACCUGCGGAAGGAUCAUUAAUGAGUUGUCAUGGGGUUCGAUGCUGGCAGCCAAUUUUUGGAUGCAUGUGCUUGCCGUAACAAUCAUCUUCCAAACACCUGUGCACAUUUUUGAGGGAGUCUUGAGUUGGUUGCCGCUCUUGGGUGAUUUUCUCACAUUCCCUUAAAUCAUUAUACGCUAUUAACAAUGUUGAACGUGCUCUGUGCCGCAAGGCUAUUAAUAUAAUACAACUUUUAACAACGGAUCUCUUGGCUCUC
rnacentral:misc_RNA from 1 species